UGUGCUAAAAGGACAAACACUAGACAUUGAUAUACUGAAGAGUUUAUUUAAUAAUUAUUAUAAUUUUAAACAGUUUUUCACAGUUAUAUAAAGGCCAGAAACCAUCUAAUUGAUGUAAGGAGAGGUGAAACCUUAACAAUAUAUACUAAUAAAACUAUAUCUUAAAUGCAAAUGGCAAAAAUGACUAAAUUUGUCAAGUUUAUUUAUGUAAUGUUUAUCUAUAUUUUCUUAUUUCUUGUGCCAUCGACAAUUGGAAGUAUUAACAGAUGUUUCAGAGCUUCUUAUUGUCCACCAAAUUUGUGCACAAGACCAUAUGUAGCGAAGUGUAUCAAUCAAAGAUGUAAAUGUGUUUUUCCUCUAAACAAAAAUCUAAUAUAUAUUAAAAGAGAGUAUAAGGGAUACUCUCACCAUAGAGACUCCAACAAAGUACGAACAAUAGAAGAAGAGAGAGUACACUCGUAGACUAUAUUUCCGUAUGACAUUGCAUUUAGUGCAAUACUAGACUAUUUCAUGAGCAGCCAUAUAUUUAUUAUGUUGUCAUAAAAUUGUAGUUAUGCUUUUGUAUAUUAAGAAUAUUCUAUUAAAAUAAAAUAAAAUAAGGCAGCAAAUAGUGAUAUUUAAA